UUGAAAGUUGGCUACACUUUGUUGACACGUAAAGUGCACGCGAAAUCGCGAAAAGCGCGCGAGCGGGGCAACAUGGCGGGCGCGUAACGCGCGGUUGAUCCGCGUCCGCCGCUCGUUAGUUCGCAAAACUUUAUUUACCGUCACGGGAGUUAUUGUGAAUCUGUACGCGCGAUACGCAUUAGCGUCCGUUUCGCUCGCGCGGCGUUCAAAAACCGCCGGCCGGACCGUGUUAAUUACCGUAUCUCGGGACGAUCGAUCCGCCCGAUGAUCGAAGUCCGUUUACGAGCGACGCGAAUUCGAUAUCAAUGAGUGCGUGAAAUUCGCGAGUGUAUAUGUGCAUAUUCGUUAUCAAACUCGGGGGAAAGUGAGCAAAUAAUUAUCGCACGGGAGAAGAUCGAGUGUCUAUAAAUCAAGCGUUUCGUGUUCUUGGAAUACGAGUACAGUGUGUGUAUGACUUAUCGGUGAAACUUGGCGAGUCCACGUAACCGCGUAUUCCAUCCUCGUCGUGGAAAAGACGGAUCAGUGCGGCCCUGGGAUCGCGACACCGCCUAUUCGCGUGAGGCACACAGUACACGCGUGCUUGUAUUCGACGCCUUCUUAUGUGUAUGUAUAUAUCGCGACGCUAUCACAUACGCGUCGCUCUCUCUCUCUCUCUCUUCCCCCCUCCUUCCCCCCACUCCCUCUCUCUCGGCGUGGCGUAGUACCGCGCGUCGCCAUCAGCGGUGAGACGGCGGCGCUGUCAGUCGUACUUCGGCCGUGGCGCCAUCGUGUUGCGUCGCGUCACCCGUGCUCCCGAGUUGAACCGAGUCCGUGCAGUGGAGCACAGUACAGUUCGCUCUCCGCAGCUCGUCGCGUCGCUCGUAAGAAGCGGACGCGCCUUCGUCGUGUGUCGUGUGUAUUGUCGUCCAACCAAGCUCGUGCGUAACCUCGUUUGUCGGGAGCCAAGGAAUGCCGAACAGCGAGUGAGAAUACAGAGAUAAUAAACGGUGUCUGUGUGUGUAUAACGCCGCCGAAAGUUUGGUGUCGCGUGGUGAAGGGAAACGACGUGAAUCGCGGCGCGCGAACUCGAAACGGACGGGCGCCCGCGCGACACAUGAGGUGGAGGCGAACUCGCCGGGCGAGUUCAGACGACGAAGAGGUAGCAGCCAAGAGCGCGGGACUGUCAGAAGCGAGCUUACAAACGGGGAAUGCAGCUUCGGGAUCGUCGUUUGCGGCCGCGGCCGGCCGCCACGCACUCGGAGACAUGACGCGAUGAUCGUCGAGGCACCCGGUGCAUUCGCCUUUACUACUCCAUCACGCCGCCGCCGCCGUCGUCGUCGUCCUCGUCGCCGUCGCCGUCGCCGUUCACGUCCUCCGCCCGCGUUCUCCUCCCUCUGUCUCUCUCUGUCCGCUUCUUCUUCUCUCUCCGUCUGUUGAUCUCUUCUCUCGCGCGCUCGUGUGUGUACGUGCACCUCCGUUCUGUAGUGAGGUACGGAAAGUGUGACGGAUAAGUUGUUUCGUCGUGAACGCGCCAGCCAAGAAUCAUGGGUGAUGUGCAAGGGCUUCAUCUAGUUAGUGACUUCGGCCGGGAGGAUAUCGCCGGAGGUGACAUCGGAACGUCGGCAAUCGUCAGCAGGCCCAUUGGAAGAAGCCACCGGCAAAACUACGAGUCGCUGGAGCAUCGUCAACGCAGCACCGAGCUCUCGCUUCCAUCGACACGG